rnacentral:tRNA from 1 species
GGCCUGUUAGCUCAGCUGGCCAGAGCGUGGUGCUAAUAACGCCAAGGUCGUGGGUUCGAUCCCCACAUGGGCCA